AAAGAAGCAAGAAAAGCCAAAAAGAAAAAAGAAGAAAUAAAGAAGAAAUAAAAGAGAGAAAAAAUGAUGGAGAACGUGAAAAAGAAAAAGAAAAUAAAAAAAUAAACAUUAAGAAAAAUAAAUAAUUAUUUUUUUACUUAAACAAAUCUAAUAGUUACAAAAUAAAAAAAAUACCUCUCCAAAACACACACACGAGGAAUUGAACCCAGAACCCAAAGGUACCAUUUUGAC
rnacentral:lncRNA from 1 species